CAGCCGCCGCGGUAAUACCGACGGUGCAAGCGUUAUCCGGAUUCACUGGGUUUAAAGGGUGCGUAGGCGGGUAGGUAAGUCAGUGGUGAAAUCCUGGAGCUCAACUCCAGAACUGCCAUUGAUACUAUCUGUCUUGAAUAUUGUGGAGGUAAGCGGAAUAUGUCAUGUAACGGUGAAAUGCUUAGAUAUGACAUAGAACACCCAUUGCGAAGGCAGCUUACUACGCAUAUAUUGACGCUGAGGCACGAAAGCGUGGGGAUCAAACAGGAUUAGAUACCCUGGUAGUCCACGCCCUAAACUAUGGAUACUCGACAUACCCGAUACACUGUGUGUGUCUGAGCGAAAGCAUUAAGUAUCCCACCUGGGAACUACGUUCGCCAGAAUGAAACUCAAAGGAAUUGGCGGGGGAGCACAG
rnacentral:rRNA from 1 species